GAUCAGGAGUGGGACUGAGACUUGUCUUCCUUUGCACCUCAGCAGGAUACCACCUCACCUGGAAAUUCAUUUUUAAGAGGAUGAACAAUCAAUAUAUCCGUCGAGAAGUCUUCUGCUGUGAAACUUGCCAUGAGCUCAAAGCUUCUGGGAGAAAGAAAUUAGAAAACAGACUUGUUACCGGGAACUGGAAGAAGAUGACAGGGAAGGAGUGCCCUGGGAAAGCUCCGAGAAGAGUGGAAGCAGAGACUGGAGAAAAGGCUGAGGAUGUUGGACAAUCCUGAUGGGAAGGAAAAGCAGACCAACACUGUAGGCUGAAAAUUACCUGCCUCCUCUACUUCAAAGAUAACAAGCCACUGAGGGCACUUUUCUAGGAGAAAAAACUAGCACCCAAGUUAUGUUGACUUACUAAGCAGGACACUCUCUAUUUGCUCUCCCAUUUGUGAGGGGAUUUACAUGUGAAACCUCCCCCAGUGCUAAUGGGAGUCCUUAUCCAACUCAAUCCUCUCUGCACAGAGAAUAGGAUGACCGCCAAUGAAAUAGGAAGCUCAGGUUAUCUAAUAUAAAAAUCUCUUGGAAUUAGCACUUCCCAGUGUUCAAAGAUCUAUGUAAUAGAAUUGAUUUCCACAUUUUCUUCUCAUUUUGAAAUCUGAAUGUUUAAUCCAAGCUUGCCAGGGGCAAUGACCUUGUGGAGAAACUGGCUUCCCUAUGUCUUCUGGAAAAACAGAGUCAUACAAUCUUCCCCCCCCACCCCCCGAUUUGGUGAAUGUAGAAAUACUACUGCUGUUGUUAUGAAAAGAAUAGUUUCUUAACAACAUGGUUUGAAAAUGAACCGAACUAAAUUAUUUUCUGUUCCUAUAAAUUGGGUUUAUUUUUCAUAAACAAGCAGAAGCAUGCAGUGAAAGUAAGAUGAUGCUUAAUAAACUUGGUUUGUCGUG